AUGGUGGUCAUUCCUGAGCUCUUGGGGCUGCUGUUGCUCUGGUUUGCAGGUGGAAAAUGUGAUAUUCAGAUGACCCAGUCUCCAUCCACUCUCUCUGCAUCUAUGGGAGACAGUGUCACCAUCUCUUGUCAUGCCAGCCAGAACAUUAAUAGUUGGUUAUCGUGGCACCAACAGAAACCAGGAGAUGCUCCUAAACUCUUAAUCUAUAAGACAUCCAGCUUGCAUACAGGGAUCCCAUCAAGGUUCAGAGGCAGUGGAUCUGGGACAGACUAUUCCCUCACCAUCAUCAACGUGCAACCUGAAGACAUUGCCACUUACUAUUGUCAACAGGAUCAAAGUAUUCCUCUCACAGUGAUACAAGUCAUAACACAAACUUCUGAGCAAGUGCAGUGA